rnacentral:lncRNA from 1 species
UCCAGCAAUGAGAACAGUAUUUAGAAAAGGUUUCAGCAUCUUUAAAAAACAAACAAACAAACAAAAAAGAACUGCUGAGUAAAAAAGUGACAGGUGUGUCUGCAGAGCCGCCCGGCCCUCGCUGUGUGCACGGCGCGCUGCCCUGCGGGCACAGAGGUGUCCAUGGCACGGUGGGUCCCAGCCCGGCCCCCCACCCCCGGCUCUCCGCAGUGUCUCAGCCCACUCUGGCUGCAGCUGCCCCAGCAGUGUGGUGUUUCUGCUCCAGCCCCGCUCCCACAGCCCACCAUUAGGAGGUGAUGGACCCCGCAGCGCUGUUGGCCACCCGCUCCGUUCCCUCGGUGUCCUCUGAGCUCACCACAGCUGUGCACACCGUGCUGACGUUCUGCUCUCCCUGUGCUGUGCUGGGCUGCUGCUGGGGCGCUUCUCCUUCAGUGCUGCCCUCCCUUUUCUCCACAUCAUUCCUGUUUUGUUCUGCUUUCAGCCUCUUGGCUGGUGGCUUUUCUCCUCCUCCUGCAUCACUUCCACCCCCAGUCGCAGUCUCCUCUGCAGCCUGACCAGCAGGUACAGCUACAGCUGGCUGCCCAUCCUGCACAGUGAUGACACAGGGCUGGCCGAGGCCGGCUGACUGCAGGCUGCUCAGGGCAAUGCUGUUGGUGACGUUGGUCACGAUGGUGACGACGCGCUGCCCUCUGCUGCCCGCAGCACCGACAGGAUCCGCCGCCAGCCGUUCCUCUGCGUCGCCUUGGGAAAUGAGGUCAGUGCCAAAAGGAAAACAGGAAGAAAAAGUCAUCAUUUCCGCCUCUCUUCCUUGAAUUGAAAGCGAAGCCUGGGGGCUGAGCUUGGGUACAACAUGGAAACACAGCGAGCCUUAGUGAGAGCAGAGGAAACAAAACACAACAGGCUGGAUGCGUGUAAAGCACAUCUUACGGGGCAAAAAGCUUUCUUUUCCUGCAGAUUAGCGAGAUCAAAGCAUUAGCAUUCCGGCAAAUUAAUUAAGAGGACUGCAGCUGGAAGCAGAUCUUCCUUAAUGACCCUUCCCCAGCUCUAGAGGUGAUGAAGGCCGCUGCUGCCCCACACUCACAAGGAGGGUAUGAGCAGACAGCACUGCUGCUCAGCAGGGUUUGAUGGGCACGGCCUGCAGCUCCCACAGUGCCCCAGGACUGCACAGCCACACGGAAUGGGGACACCGGAGUGCUGCUGUGUGCCGGGAGCAAGGAGGAAAACAUCUGAGCACAAGGGCUGAAAACCUCAGCCCUGUGGCAC